rnacentral:rRNA from 1 species
UACGAAGGGUGCAAGCGUUACUCGGAAUUACUGGGCGUAAAGCGUGCGUAGGUGGUUUGUUAAGUCUGCUGUGAAAUCCCCGGGCUCAACCUGGGAAUGGCAGUGGAUACUGGCAAGCUAGAGUGCGGUAGAGGGUAGUGGAAUUCCCGGUGUAGCGGUGAAAUGCGCAGAUAUCAGGAAGAACACCCGUGGCGAAGGCGGCUCUCUGGGACGGUACUGACGCUGAGACGCGAAAGCGUGGGGAGCGAACAGG